rnacentral:piRNA from 1 species
UAGCAUCCUUAGAGGUCACAAGCAUU